rnacentral:lncRNA from 1 species
UGUGUCAGAUACACUCACAUUCUACUCCUAAACUGGAAAAAGAAAAGCCGAGAGAAUGUGGCUAUGAAAACAAAGGCGCAGUUUUCCUUUCACACCUCCAUUUGCAAAGAACAAGGAUGGCUCAGUGGGGAUUUUCUGAGUGUGAGUGACUCACUAAAGAGGAGGAAUAAAGAAAUGACUCAACAAAACAAGGAAAAGAUGAUGGUGGGAAGGACUACUGGCUUUUGUAUUUCUGAAGAGGAGAGAGUGAAAGGUACACAGCAGAGUUCAGAAGAAGUUGCAUCCUGGCAAAUGAGUUCAUGAAGAUGGCUGGAUGAAUGGCAGGUAACAAGAGUGCCAGAAGAUUUGGAAUUUGUAUAACCCCAAACUGUGUUUUCCUAACUAAUCUUGGCAAGCUUAAAACCCUGGAAAGUCACAAUUCACUUCCCAGGCGAUCAUCCUGGACAGCUCAGCAGCAGAAAAAGCAGAACAGGAUAUCCAGCUAUUGAACAGGGCCGCCGGCCCAGGUGGCCAGCCUUGCAGCUGCAGAGCGUGUCCUACCAGGAGGGCAGCUCAGGGCUGCAGGAAGACACGUUCCGUUCCUCUGUUUUCAGCUCAAGAGGAAAGCACAGUCUGCACUAACUCCCAAACACUGCCUGCCAACACAGCACUUUCCAGCUAUGGUGAAAGGAGGGUAGGUAUCUGAACAACACAUGUCAGAAGAGGAACAAAUCAUUUAUGAGAUAUGGGAGGCCCCAGUAUGAGCAGAUAGUCAACUAUGAGAAAACAGCUUCAGUUUAUUAUUGUACUGACUGAAGCAUAACAUCAUAGAUGUGAGGCCGCUGAGGACCA